UACGUAGGGCGCAAGCGUUGUCCGGAAUUAUUGGGCGUAAAGCGCACGUAGGCGGCUUCUUAAGUCGGUGGUGAAAUCCUGGAGCUCAACUCCAGAACUGCCUUCGAUACUGGGAAGCUCGAGUCCGGGAGGGGUGAGUGGAACUGCGAGUGUAGAGGUGAAAUUCGUAGAUAUUCGCAAGAACACCAGUGGCGAAGGCGGCUCACUGGCCCGGUACUGACGCUGAGGUGCGAAAGCGUGGGGAGCAAACAGG
rnacentral:rRNA from 1 species